rnacentral:misc_RNA from 1 species
GUAGGUGAACCUGCGGAAGGAUCAUUAAAGAGUAAGGGUGCUCAGCGCCCGACCUCCAACCCUUUGUUGUUAAAACUACCUUGUUGCUUUGGCGGGACCGCUCGGUCUCGAGCCGCUGGGGAUUCGUCCCAGGCGAGCGCCCGCCAGAGUUAAACCAAACUCUUGUUAUUUAACCGGUCGUCUGAGUUAAAAUUUUGAAUAAAUCAAAACUUUCAACAACGGAUCUCUUGGUUCUC